ACCCCGGGUAUUAACCGCGAGUAUUUCCUUCCGCCGAAAGAACUUUACCACCCUAAGGGCUUCAUCCUUCACGCGGCAUUGCUGGAUCAGGGUUUCCCCCAUUGGCCAAAAUUCCCCAAUGCUGCCUCCCGUAGG
rnacentral:rRNA from 1 species